rnacentral:lncRNA from 1 species
GUGGAGGAAUGACUCCCUCCGGGGUUUCGGUGUGUCAAUGAUGGCUUCCGACCAACCAAGAGUCAACAUGGGCGAGGAUCACGUGACCUCUGGGAACGCAAUCGCCACGUUGGCCCAGGCUCAAUUCCUUCUCCCAUGGAUGGGAUUGGGAGGGAAUACUCCCCGUCAAUUUCUCCGCACCGCCGGUCCGGUUCAUUCCACGGAUAACCGCCGCGCGAGUCCAAGCCCGUUUGGUUGCCCAGAUUAUCAUAUU